rnacentral:rRNA from 1 species
GACGAACGCUGGCGGCGUGCUUAACACAUGCAAGUCGAACGGAAAGGCCCUGCUUUUGUGGGGUGCUCGAGUGGCGAACGGGUGAGUAACACGUGAGUAACCUGCCCUUGACUUUGGGAUAACUUCAGGAAACUGGGGCUAAUACCGGAUAGGAGCUCCUGCUGCAUGGUGGGGGUUGGAAAGUUUCGGCGGUUGGGGAUGGACUCGCGGCUUAUCAGCUUGUUGGUGGGGUAGUGGCUGACCAAGGCUUUGACGGGUAGCCGGCCUGAGAGGGUGACCGGCCACAUUGGGACUGAGAGACGGCCCAGACGCCUACGGGAGGCAGCAGGGGGGAAUAUUGCACAAUGGGCGGAAGCCUGAUGCAGCAACGCCGCGUGCGGGAUGACGGCCUUCGGGUUGUAAACCGCUUUCGCCUGUGACGAAGCGUGAGUGACGGUAAUGGGUAAAGAAGCACCGGCUAACUACGUG